rnacentral:rRNA from 1 species
AGUGAACGCUGGCGGUAGGCCUAACACAUGCAAGUCGAACGGCAGCACAGUAAGAGCUUGCUCUUACGGGUGGCGAGUGGCGGACGGGUGAGGAAUACAUCGGAAUCUACUUUUUCGUGGGGGAUAACGUAGGGAAACUUACGCUAAUACCGCAUACGACCUACGGGUGAAAGCAGGGGAUCUUCGGACCUUGCGCGAUUGAAUGAGCCGAUGUCGGAUUAGCUAGUUGGCGGGGUAAAGGCCCACCAAGGUGACGAUCCGUAGCUGGUCUGAGAGGAUGAUCAGCCACACUGGAACUGAGACACGGUCCAGACUCCUACGGGAGGCAGCAGUGGGGAAUAUCGGACAAUGGGCGCAAGCCUGAUCCAGCCAUACCGCGUGGGUGAAGAAGGCCUUCGGGUUGUAAAGCCCUUUUGUUGGGAAAGAAAAGCAGCAGGUUAAUACCCCGCUGUUCUGACGGUACCCAAAGAAUAAGCACCGGCUAACUUCGUG